AUGCUUACUCUGCAGAGAUGUGUGAAGAGAGUCAAGAAUGAUGAAACUGGGCAGAAGCACUGCACCGGGCAAUUCUUCGACUACUGGUCAUGCGUUGACAAAUGUGUAAGUACAACCUGUACAUCGACUAGUUCCAAACUACCGUUCGUGGAGUGUUAA
rnacentral:rRNA from 1 species